rnacentral:lncRNA from 1 species
UUUGUUGCAAGGCUUCUUAGAAGGGUAUGUUGAUCUCUAGUUUUUUGAAGAUUUCCAUGAAGCGCUCAAACUGCUUUUCGUUUUCCUUCCUAGAGUAAUUUUUUGGGUAAGGAAGGGAUUUUUCAAAAACUUCUCUUUUUUUCUCUCAUUCUCUUCCUCACUCAUUUUUUCUUUUUCUCUCCUCUCACUCUAUUGUUUUUCUUUCUCUUUUUCAUUUUUUUCAUUUUCUCUCAAUCUCUCUCUUUCUUUGCUCUCAUUCUCUUGUUUUUCUUUCUCUUUUUCUCUCAACUUCUCUUUUUCUUUUCUCUCAUCUAAAAUUCUACCACUGCUAGUGACAACUGCCUUGCUCUCCCUUCUAGGCUUCCUG